GUUAUACGCUGCUCAGUCACAACUUGCAACACCCAGAGUGCUUGAAAUGGAGAAAAGUGAACAAAUAUCCCUCUGCAAAUAGUUCCCAAAGGUGUUGGCAAGUUUGUGGUGAGAGAGAGCACGUAAUUCAGGGGUCUGUGAUUCGGUGGUGUGGGAUUUAGGUACAGUGGUCAGUACGCGACGGGCUGGGGCAACGGAGGCCCCAGGAGGAGUUUGAAGGCCUCGGUCCUACGCUGGGUGCAGCUUCUGCCCGCGUGGAGCUGGAGCGGGCGUUUCUUUUUAAGCAAUGCUGAGGACAGGCAGGUGCUAGCAAGUCCCUAUGUGCUGCCUCUCCCAGAGCGUGUGGCCUUCUUCACAACUUCUAAGGGCUGUCACAAGGUGGCAAAGCCAACGUGGAGGAGCGGGGCCCUGCUGCUGGCAGCGCUUGCUCGAGGCUGCUGCGAGCUGUCACUGAGACUCCUGCCUCGGUGCUGCCUGCGCGUGCGGGGGGAGGAUGAAUUGCUUUUUCUGUGAGUAUUAAAUAUUUUAUUUUGUGACCUUCCUCUAAUCGGAUGCUUUAUCUCAACCAUAUAUUAAAAGAAAAGUAAUAAAAAAAGGAUUUUAAUAAACGUAACCUCCUUAAAUUGUGUAAUUGUCACUUUCCUAGGACAUUAGGGAAGCUGUAAGGGGGAAAAAAUAUGUACAGAGCAGUUUUUGGUGCAUUGAUAAUUUAUUAUCUAAUAAUCUCUUCUCUUUCUUGCUAUUCCCAGUUUUCUCAUUACGGGUACAUAGCAGAACGCCCUGUUGCUAGCAGCGGGUUGCCGUGCUCCUGCCGAGCCAGAUCUGCUCUGUGCCGGUGUCAGGUGAUGUCCAGCCUUCCUCCCCAGCCGUGAGCAGCUUUUCUGAGAUGUAAAAAGGCAGCAGGAGGCUCAGCUCUGCGCCCUUGAAAGCCUCCCUAGAGGAGCACAGGUUGCCCCCGAUGCUCUUGGGUUAAGAUGCUCUCGGGACCACACGUGGUGGGGACUGGCCAUCAUGUGCAGCGCUGUGUCCAGGCACAAUUUCCCUUCCUGCGGCUGUUCCUUGCAGAAAGGUUUUGCGGGUGCUUUGCAGCCUUGGGAGGAGGAGAGGAGCACUCCAAAUGCAGACCAGCACUGACCCGUGCCGGUCCUUCCCAAGACCCUGCCCAGAGCAAGAGCGGCGGUGCUGAGGAAGGGAACCCAGCCUGGCCAGCAGGCGAGUUGCUGCAUGAGAACUUCAUAUCAAAAGGUGGAAGGGGCAUAGAGAAACAGGGGGUUUAUUCUAUGCGAGGGUCUCCCCCUGUCCCUGUUAGGAUGCUGGCUCCACCACCACUGCUGGCUCUCCUGGGAAGAGGCAGCGCAGGGCACUGCCAUCCUCACGGCUGCCAAAGCAGGGCGAGAUGGGGCCAAGCGCCUCUGGCAAACAGCAGCUGUGGUGGGGAGAUCGAUGAGAAACUUCAGGGAGGUGAGAAGACUUGGGGUUAAGGAUGACAAAUGGGAGUGCUCCUGGCAGCACGUCAGUCUUCACAGCCAUAUUUCAGUUCCCAGAUGGGCGCUUUUUAUUUAGGGUCGCCGGCGUUUCCCAGCCGGCCACCGCUGCGGCUCGCGUGAGCGUGGGGCUGGGUUUGCCCCCUGGACACCCGGAGGGGCAGGCAGAGUUGCAGCCUUUGUUUUCUUGUGGGCCCAAACCAAUUCUUUUAUCCAUGUUCCCUGAUUUUUCUGUGAAUCGCUUGUUGAUGUGGGAGUUUCGUUGUCCCAGAGCGGGUGCCCUGGGCGCAGCUGCGUUCCCCCACCUGUCCCCAUGCAAUGAACUCGGUGAGGCCGUACCCCAUGGUGGGAGGAGGCACCAGCCUCUGAGAAAAGUUGAGGGGUGACAGGCACACAUCAGCCCCGAACAAAAAUUAGUUGCAUUCAUCAGAAGAUGAGGUUAAGCCACUUCAGCUGAUACCCAUUGUUCUGGGCUGUGUCCACCCCGAGCAUCCACACAGACCCUUUCAGGAGGGGCGAUUUCUAUUUUCUCUUGCUGUCCAAACGCAAGAAUAAAUUAGACCCCAACAACCA
rnacentral:lncRNA from 1 species